GGUUGGGUAACAUAAAGGUAAUGUGCGGGAUUGCAAAUCCUAAAAUGGCAGUUCGAAUCUGCCCCUAACCU
rfam:Chlorella variabilis unplaced genomic scaffold CHLNCscaffold_183, whole genome shotgun sequence.